rnacentral:lncRNA from 1 species
CGCCGGAAUUUGUAAUUGUUUCGUCGUGAGUUUUCAUUGUGGUUCCCCAGUGAAAGUGCAGCCAGAACAGAGCCCCUGCAGAGGCUUGUACAAUUCUGCUGGAGCGAGUCCAGAAGAGGCCACAAAAUUGAUAAGAGAACUGGGGCACCUCCCCUACAGAGACAGGCUGGGAAAAUUGGGGUGUUUAUCCUGGAGGAGAGAAGGUUGUGUGGAGACCUCAAAACACCUUUCAGAACCUGAAGAGACUUGCAAGGAAGCUGGAGACAAACUCUUCAUCAGGAACUGGAGUGACAGGACAAGGAGGAAUGGGUACAAACUGGAAAAGGGGAAAUUUAGGUUAGACAUUAUGAAGAAAUUUUUCACUUUGAGCGUGGUGAGGCCCUGGCACAGGUGCCCAGAGCAGCUGUGGCUGCCCCUGGAUCCCUGGCAGUGCCCAAGGCCAGGUUGGACACUGGGGCUGGAGCAGCCUGGGACAGUGGAAGGUGUCCCUGCCAUGGCAGGGGGGUGGAAUGGGAUGAUCUUCCAACCCUUAAUGUUUAAGGAUUCUAUAACUUUGUCAUUCUUACAAACAGAUGAUUUGAGAAAAUUUUUAAUGCAGUCCUCCAAGAUUCUGUGAUUCAAAAAGACAAUCUGGCUGUAUUUCAUGAUCGAGCCUGAUUGACCUGAUGUUAUUAAAGUUGCCCUAUAUUCCUGUAAAUCAGAUUUUUCUUGAUCUUAAUGAAAUCUUGGGAAGGAAUUAAUUCUGUAGAAUUAUUGGGGGUUUAAGUUGUCUUUAAGUAGGUUAAUUUUGUCAAAUGUACCAUUCCCGAUUAUUUGAAUGUAUUCUGGUUCUUCAAGAUUAGCUUGUUUAUGAAUGUAUUUUCCAACAUUUCUAAUUUUAGAUGCUUUGAUGGGGGGCUUAGUUUGAUAUAUUUUUCAUCUUUAUGUGUGCUUGCAGCUGUUAUUACCAGGUGCAUGUUUGUUAAGUAUAUGGUUUGUUCUCCAUUUGGAGUAUCCAGUAACUGCUCAGAUUAACUUUGGAUCAUACUUGCCAACAAGCUUUAUCACUGGAAUUUUGUUAAAAACUGAACCCUUGCAAGAUGUAGAAUGUAAAGAAACUUUAAAGAAAAAAAUGGUAAAGAAAAUAAAGAAAUAAAGGAUGAUUAUACAUGAACAUUGUGAGCAAAUUAACAUGUAAAAGCUAAAACACUUGCAUUGGUUUAAAGUAUGAGAAUUACUGGUUUUCAUAGUGUAAAUAUUGCAUGAAAGGGCCAAGUUGUGUACUUUGAAUAGUUCAGUGGUUUUGACACGAAUAUUUUCAAUAUAAAAAUAGUUGGAAUAAAUUAAUAUCCUGGAGCUAAUUGUCUUUUUUUUAGAUCUGUAGUUUCAGCUCUUUUACAUGUAGAGACCCUAAAAUUUUCUUUAAUGAAGA